CCUACGGGUGGCUGCAGUGAGGAAUAUUGGUCAAUGGACGAAAGUCUGAACCAGCCAAGUCGCGUGAAGGAUGACUGCCCUAUGGGUUGUAAACUUCUUUUAUAUGGGAAUAAAACGUUCCACGUGUGGGAUUUUGUAUGUACCCUAUGAAUAAGGGUCGGCUAACUCCGUGCCAGCAGCCGCGGUAAUACGGAGGAUCCGAGCGUUCUCCGGAUUUCUUGGGUUUAAGGGGAGCGUAGGUGGAUGGUUAAGUCAGUUGUGAAAGUGUGCGGCUCAACCGGAAAAUUGCAGUUGAAACUGGCAGUCUUGAGUACAGUAGAGGUGGGCGGAAUUCGUGGUGUAGCGGUGAAAUGCUUAGAUAUCACGAAGAACUCCGAUGGCGAAGGCAGUUCACUGGACUGCAACUGACACUGAGGCGCGAAAGUGUGGGUAGCAAACAGGAUUAGAUACCCUAGUAGUC
rnacentral:rRNA from 1 species